rnacentral:rRNA from 1 species
UCGGGAAUUUUGGGCAAUGGGCGAAAGCCUGACCCAGCAACGCCGCGUGAAGGAUGAAGUAUUUCGGUAUGUAAACUUCGAAAGAAUAGGAAGAAUAAAUGACGGUACUAUUUAUAAGGUCCGGCUAACUACGUGCCAGCAGCCGCGGUAAUACGUAGGGACCAAGCGUUGUUCGGAUUUACUGGGCGUAAAGGGCGCGUAGGCGGCAAUUCAAGUCAUCUGUGAAAUCUCCGGGCUUAACUCGGAACGGUCAGAUGAUGCUGCUUUGCUAGAGUGCAGAAGGGGCAAUCGGAAUUCUUGGUGUAGCGGUGAAAUGCGUAGAUAUCAAGAGGAACACCUGAGGUGAAGACGGGUUGCUGGGCUGACACUGACGCUGAGGCGCGAAAGCCAGGGGAGCAAACGGGAUUAGAUACCCCUGUAGUCCCUGAGCGGGCUGGCAAGGCGCAU